rnacentral:lncRNA from 1 species
GCACUCCGGAUGAUAUUUAGACUUGAACUUAAGAAUUUUGCCUUAAAUAAACUUUAAGCCAAUGGUAAAUUACUUAUAUAAGUACAAUGUAAUGGAUAUUGGUAUUCCAUAAAAAUGACGAUUAGCAGGCAAUAGCACGUAAUUGCUUCUUGCUUAUUGAUAUUAUUUGGUCGAGAAUAAGAUAUGUUAGGGAAAUACAAAUUUCCUUGAUUCUGGAUAAAAGCCCUAAUAAAAGAGGCACUUUUAAAAAUCUUGAAAAGAUACUAUUUAUGGGAAAUAGAAAAUUUUCUCCGGCAAAACUGGGUAUAGAGUAGCAGACUCUCCAGCUUGUCCGGAUAUACUGAGAUUACCUCUCCGGCGCGAACCGGAUAAGACAGGGUACAUAGUAUGUCAAACAAGUAAC